rnacentral:rRNA from 1 species
UACAGAGGUGGCAAGCGUUGUUCGGAAUUACUGGGCGUAAAGGGCGCGUAGGCGGCCAGCGCAAGUCAGUUGUGAAAUCUCCGGGCUUAACUCGGAACGGUCAACUGAUACUGCGCGGCUAGAGUGCAGAAGGGGCAACUGGAAUUCUCGGUGUAGCGGUGAAAUGCGUAGAUAUCGAGAGGAACACCUGCGGCGAAGGCGGGUUGCUGGGCUGACACUGACGCUGAUGCGCGAAAGCCAGGGGAGCGAACGGG